UACGUAGGUGACAAGCGUUGUCCGGAUUUACUGGGCGUAAAGAGCGCGCAGGCGGUCGUUCAAGUCGAGUGUGAAAGCCCCCGGCUCAACUGGGGAGGGUCAUUCGAUACUGAUCGACUCGAAGGCAGGAGAGGGAAGUGGAAUUCCCGGUGUAGUGGUGAAAUGCGUAGAUAUCGGGAGGAACACCUGCGGCGAAGGCGGCUUCCUGGACCGCAACUGACGCUGAGGCGCGAAAGCGUGGGGAGCAAACAGG
rnacentral:rRNA from 1 species